rnacentral:rRNA from 1 species
GUAGGUGGCAAGCGUUGUCCGGAAUUAUUGGGCGUAAAGCGCGCGCAGGCGGUUCUUUAAGUCUGAUGUGAAAGCCCACGGCUCAACCGUGGAGGGUCAUUGGAAACUGGAGAACUUGAGUACAGAAGAGGAAAGCGGAAUUCCACGUGUAGCGGUGAAAUGCGUAGAGAUGUGGAGGAACACCAGUGGCGAAGGCGGCUUUCUGGUCUGUAACUGACGCUGAGGCGCGAAAGCGUGGGGAGCAAACAGGAUUAGAUACCCUGGUAGUCCACGCCGUAAACGAUGAGUGCUAAGUGUUAGGGGGUUUCCGCCCUUAGUGCUGCAGCUAACGCAUUAAGCACUCCGCCUGGGAGUACGGCCGCAAGGCUG